UGGGGCUUCCCCGGGAGGGUGACGAUUUCCCAUCCUUCUCACUUUAGCUCACAAGUAAACCCUCCCGGCCCUCCCAGGAUCCCGGGGACCCAGCCUUCCUUCCACAGCCCUCCCUUCCUUCUCCCCAUCUGUUUGUCCUGGAGGAGCCAAGAAGCUGGCUCUGGACAGCCUUGUCAUCCGUGUAUUCAUUCACUUGACAUUUACUAAGCACCUACUAUGUGCCAGCACUGUGUGACUUCACCCAUUUGCAAGAGGGAGUCAGACAAGCUGCCUGCCCUUGCGUGGCCCACAGUUCUGGGCAGGGAGAGUGUGUACAGGGAGACAGACAGCGCUCUGUUUAGCAAAUAUAUGGUUGCAGCUUGUGAUAAAGAGCCCGUUUGCUUCCUUCCUAGCGUGUGUCACACUCUGUAAUCACCUUAUUUAUUCAUUCAUUUUAUUUAUUUGUAGGUCUGACCCAGGAGACUGUGAGCUCCGCAAGGGCAAGAGACCGUGUCUGUCUUAUUCAUCUGCCCCACGUCCGCAGGAUCUUACUGGGGACAUGGAACACGGGCUGAAUCGUCCUGGCCACCCCACUCGUGUCUUCUUGGCCACAGAAGGUGGCAGCUUGGGGGAGUAGGAGCUGGCGUGGGAGAUAAAGGGGUUGGGGGCAAGAAAAGUCACGAGGAGCAGAGGAGAGGCCCUGAGACUGCGGGGAGUCUCCAGGUCUCCUGGCUACCAUCAGCGCCGCCCCUGCCCGCAACCGCUGUGUUUCUCAGGGUGGCCCAGGAACCCACACGCUUCAGCAUCCCAGGGAGUAUGUGUUUGUUAACAUGCAGAUUCCUGGGCUGUACCAAGACCCACCCAUCUGUAAUCUCAGAAGAGGGACCUUGGAAUCUGUAUUUUUAAAUGCUCCCCAGAUUGGGGUGAGGCCAUACCAUUGGAGAUGGGAGAAUGACUGUCUGCAGAAGAAUGGGCUGGGCCUCCGCCCUAGGAGGAAAAGGCUCUGUGGUAAGGAACCUGCACACCCCUCUCUCCAGGACUGGGGCAAUGCUGCCCUUCUUGUUUCAAACUGGUUCACAGAAACACCCGAGCCAGCCAGGGAGUGAGUGAGCACCUCUCCAGCUGCUGGGGAAACAUUGACAGCAAAUAAGGAGGGUGUGGGUGACCCUUCAGAAGGUGGUGGUCCUCCUGGGAGCCGGCAGCCUGGCCCAGCUGUAGGGAGGGGACAGAGUUCAGGGGCCUGGUUGCCAGGGAACAGGAUGGCCCUACGGGUACUAUCUCCGUGAGGUUAACCGUCACAUAAACCGCAGGAAAGCAAACACUCUCCCUGAGACCCCACCCCACGGCACAGGCAGAGCAGAUGAGUCACUUGGCAUAAGAGGGCUCCAUGGAAGCAAACAAAUCCCAUCUGCCCAGAGGAGAACUCACAGGGCCAGGUCACAGCUCCCAUCCCGUCCGGCCUGCCCACAGAGCAGCGUGCACACGCGUGUACACAUGUGCACACACACAUACACACACAUACACAGCAGCACCAGCUCAGAAACCAGAUUUUAGAGACUGGAGGGAGGAGGGAUGGUGCAGCACAACUCAAAUUCCUCCCUCAAUCUGCUAAUUCUCCCUGAAGCACCUGGGCUGGGCCCAGCCUAGUCAGCGGAAGCCUGGCCCCUAUGCCCGAGCCCAGGAGGGUGGAGGCGGGUGGGGGUCUGAGGGCGCGGGGCCAGAGCAGGCUAACCCAGGAACCAGCCCAGCUGGGCACGGGGCCUCUCAGUACUCUUCCCUGGAACAUGAGAUAAGAGAGCUUCCUCCUGCGGGGGAGGACUGGGAAGGCUUCACCGGUAUGGGUCCUUGGGGAGAGUCAAUCAGCUGAAGCAUGUUGGCCACAUGCCAUGUUGCCUGGCACGGAGUUGGUCCUCAAUAAACGAGAAAUGGCAUUAAAUCAUGUGUCACAGGUGUCACUCAGCAGCUGAGCUACAAGCCUGCUAACCUGGAGGUCUCUACUUAGGUUCCCUCUCAAAAGCCAAAUUUCAC